rnacentral:rRNA from 1 species
UACGUAGGGAGCGAGCGUUGUCCGGAUUCAUUGGGCGUAAAGAGCUCGUAGGCGGCUUGGUAAGUCGGAUGUGAAACCUCCAGGCUCAACCUGGAGUCGCCAUCCCGAUACUGCUAUGGGCUAGAGUCCGGGUAGGGGGCCCCACGGGAAUUCCUGGUGUAGCGGUGAAAUGCGCAGAUAUCAGGAGGAACACCGGUGGCGGAAGGCGGGGUC